rfam:Asian citrus Psyllid, Diaphorina citri - Florida Strain, whole genome shotgun sequence.
GCCUAGCUAGCUUGGUUCGUAGAGCGUCGGCCUUGUAAGCACUAGGCCGCGGGUUCAAUUCCCGCCCGGGGCG